UAAUUUUCUUUUGACUAAAAUACCAAAAGGAAAAAAAUGUAAAACGCUCUCAGGCGAUGUUCUCGAGGAGUUACAGAGGCUUUUUCCCAAUCCAGGUUUUCACCCCAUAUUCAAAAUUUGAAUCUCUUCUUCCUCCUUUACCAUGUCUAAGGCGGCGGAGCAUCUUGCCGAUGUUUUCUCUCUUACUUGUUUAUUUAUCUCUCUUACAUGUUGAUGAUGUCGUCGAACAUUCUUUUGGAUCUGAGAAACCAAAGACGCGCCUCCGCUCACUUGUUGUGCCUCCGCUUUUUUGCAGCGCCUCCAUCUCUCUUCCGUGACUCCGUGCUUCUCUUCAGAAGAAGCACAAAAUAGUUCAACCUUGGAAGCAAUGGUUAGUUGAUGUGCAGUUACAAUGGUUAUAAAAAUAGUUUGAAUUGUUUCUUACUUUAUUGGCAUGAUAAUAAAUUGUUUAGACAGAAUAUAAAAUGUGAUCAAUUUUUUAAUGUAUAUGAUUAAAUUUCAACUGUGGUGUGAAUAUUACUGUUUAAUGAGAAUACAUCCGUGUUGUAUGAUUAGGUGUUGCGGUGUCUAGCAAUCAAGACCAUGUCUUUCCUCUGGAUGCAAUCGCUACAGGUGAUGCACCAUGCUUAAAACGUGCAGGUCUACCUUGUGGAGGUGGUGAGCACCGAACCAUGGAGAACAUAAAAUCAGGGGAGAUGUAGACAACUGGUCGAGCGUCGUUGAAGCUAACUUUAGCAUGCUGAGAAUUGGAAAAAAAUGUAGUGAAGUUAAAGGUUGGGGAGACAUCAUCGGAAGGCAGCAACACCCAUGGUGGGUGUUGAGUGGAGUCAACCAUUAGUGAUUGGGUCUUGUAUUAUACUAUGGAAGCUUAGGAUCUAUUUUCUAAAUGUCUACGAGUUUUUUGUAAAACGGGUAACAUAAAAUUUAGCUAGAGGGUAGUAAGUUUUUGGAUGGUUAAAAUUUUGUGUAACCGUUAAAAUUAUCCGAAUGUAAGGAAGUUAACCUGUUUAAAUGAUAUGCAUUUCUAAAUGUAAGAAAUUUAAAAUUUAGCCAGGG
rnacentral:lncRNA from 1 species